AGUGAACGCUGGCGGUAGGCCUAACACAUGCAAGUCGAACGGCAGCACAGUAAGAGCUUGCUCUUACGGGUGGCGAGUGGCGGACGGGUGAGGAAUACAUCGGAAUCUACUUUUUCGUGGGGGAUAACGUAGGGAAACUUACGCUAAUACCGCAUACGACCUACGGGUGAAAGCAUGGGAUCUUCGGACCUUUCGCGAUUGAAUGAGCCGAUGUCGGAUUAGCUAGUUGGCGGGGUAAAGGCCCACCAAGGCGACGAUCCGUAGCUGGUCUGAGAGGAUGAUCAGCCACACUGGAACUGAGACACGGCCCAGACUCCUACGGGAGGCAGCAGUGGGGAAUAUUGGACAAUGGGCGCAAGCCUGAUCCAGCCAUACCGCGUGGGUGAAGAAGGCCUUCGGGUUGUAAAGCCCUUUUGUUGGGAAAGAAAAGCAGCAGGUUAAUACCCCGCUGUUCUGACGGUACCCAAAGAAUAAGCACCGGCUAACUUCGUG
rnacentral:rRNA from 1 species